rnacentral:rRNA from 1 species
AUUGAACGCUGGCGGCAUGCCUUACACAUGCAAGUCGAACGGUAACGGGCCUUCGGGUGCCGACGAGUGGCGAACGGGUGAGUAAUACAUCGGAACGUGCCCGAUCGUGGGGGUUAACGAGGCGAAAGCUUUGCUAAUCCCGCAUACGAUCUACGCAUGCAAGCAGGGGACCGCAAGGCCUUUCCCGGCCGGCACGGCCCCUGGCAGAUUAGGUAGUUGGUGGGGUAAAAGCUUACCAAGCCGACGAUCUGUAGCUGGUCUGAGAGGAUGAUCAGCCACACUGGGACUGAGACACGGCCCAGACUCCUACGGGAGGCAGCAGUGGGGAAUGUUGGACAAUGGGCGCAAGCCUGAUCCAGCCAUGCCGAGUGCAGGAUGAAGGCCUUCGGGUUGUAAACUGCUUUUGUACGGAACGAAAAGCCUGCUUUUAAUACAGGAGGGUAAUGACGGUACCGGAAGAAUAAGCACCGGCUAACUACGUG